GUGAAGAGGAGAUGACAGGUCCUGGUGUAGAGGAGAUGACAGGUCCUGGUUUAUAGAGGAGAUGACAGGUCCUGGUGAAGAGGAGAUGACAGGUCCUGGUGAAGAGGAGAUGACAGGUCCUGGUUUAUAGAGGAGAUGACAGGUCCUGGUGUAGAGGAGAUGACAGGUCCUGGUGUAGAGGAGAUGACAGGUCCUGGUGUAGAGGAGAUGACAGGUCCUGGUGUAGAGGAGAUGACAGGUCCUGGUGUAGAGGAGAUGACAGGUCCUGGUGAAGAGGAGAUGACAGGUCCUGGUGUAGAGGAGAUGACAGGUCCUGGUGAAGAGGAGAUGACAGGUCCUGGUUUGUAGAGGAGAUGACAGGUCCUGGUGAAGAGGAGAUGACAGGUCCUGGUGUAGAGGAGAUGACAGGUCCUGGUUUGUAGAGGAGAUGACAGGUCCUGGUGAAGAGGAGAUGACAGGUCCUGGUGUAGAGGAGAUGACAGGUCCUGGUGAAGAGGAGAUGACAGGUCCUGGUGUAGAGGAGAUGACAGGUCCUGGUGAAGAGGAGAUGACAGGUCCUGGUGAAGAGGAGAUGACAGGUCCUGGUUUAUAGAGGAGAUGACAGGUCCUGGUGAAGAGGAGAUGACAGGUCCUGGUGUAGAGGAGAUGACAGGUCCUGGUGAAGAGGAGAUGACAGGUCCUGGUGAAGAGGAGAUGACAGGUCCUGGUGUAGAGGAGAUGACAGGUCCUGGUUUAUAGAGGAGAUGACAGGUCCUGGUGAAGAGGAGAUGACAGGUCCUGGUGAAGAGGAGAUGACAGGUCCUGGUUUAUAGAGGAGAUGACAGGUCCUGGUGUAGAGGAGAUGACAGGUCCUGGUGUAGAGGAGAUGACAGGUCCUGGUGUAGAGGAGAUGACAGGUCCUGGUGAAGAGGAGAUGACAGGUCCUGGUGUAGAGGAGAUGACAGGUCCUGGUGAAGAGGAGAUGACAGGUCCUGGUGUAGAGGAGAUGACAGGUCCUGGUGUAGAGGAGAUGACAGGUCCUGGUGUAGAGGAGAUGACAGGUCCUGGUGAAGAGGAGAUGAC